CCCUGACAGUUGCAUUGUGCGACUGACACUAGCCAAGACAGGAGAUACUCAUG
rnacentral:sRNA from 12 species